AGUGAACGCUGGCGGUAGGCCUAACACAUGCAAGUCGAACGGCAGCACAGGAGAGCUUGCUCUCUGGGUGGCGAGUGGCGGACGGGUGAGGAAUACAUCGGAAUCUACUUUUUCGUGGGGGAUAACGUAGGGAAACUUACGCUAAUACCGCAUACGACCUACGGGUGAAAGCAGGGGACCUUCGGGCCUUGCGCGAUUGAAUGAGCCGAUGUCGGAUUAGCUAGGUGGCGGGGUAAAGGCCCACCAAGGCGAUGAUCCAUAGCUGGUCUGAGAGGAUGAUCAGCCACACUGGAACUGAGACACGGUCCAGACUCCUACGGGAGGCAGCAGUGGGGAAUAUUGGACAAUGGGCGCAAGCCUGAUCCAGCCAUACCGCGUGGGUGAAGAAGGCCUUCGGGUUGUAAAGCCCUUUUGUUGGGAAAGAAAUCCAGCUGGCUAAUACCCGGUUGGGAUGACGGUACCCAAAGAAUAAGCACCGGCUACUUCGUGCCAGCCGCCGCCGUAA
rnacentral:rRNA from 1 species